rnacentral:rRNA from 1 species
CGCCUGUUUAUCAAAAACAUCGCCUCUUGUUCAAUUAUAGGAGGUCCAGCCUGCCCAGUGACUCUGUUCAACGGCCGCGGUAUCCUAACCGUGCGAAGGUAGCGUAAUCACUUGUUCUUUAAAUGAGGACUAGUAUGAAUGGCCCCACGAGGGCUGCACUGUCUCCUUUUUCUAAUCAAUGAAACUAAUCUCCCCGUGAAGAAGCGGGAAUUAUCCUAUAAGACGAGAAGACCCUAUGGAGCUUUAAACAAUUGAAACAUUUGCUUUUCUCCUAACUCCUCCCGAGCUCUUUAUUUUUAUUUAAGCAUUAUUAUUUCUAGUUUUAGGUUGGGGUGACCACGGAGCAAAACUAAACCUCCAUGAAGAAAUGAAUAUUUUUAAGCCACAAACUACCUUUUUAAGCAUCAACAAAUUGACCUUCAUUGACCCAAUAUAUUGAUCAACGAACCAAGUUACCCUAGGGAUAACAGCGCAAUCUACUUCAAGAGCUCAUAUCGACAAGUAGGUUUACGACCUCGAUGUUGGAUCAGGGUAUCCUAGUGGUGCAGCCGCUACUAAUGGUUCGUUUGUUCAACGAUUAAAACCCU